UACGGUAGGGUGCAAGCGUUAAUCGGAAUUACUGGGCGUAAAGCGUGCGCAGGCGGUGAUGUAAGACAGUUGUGAAAUCCCCGGGCUCAACCUGGGAACUGCAUCUGUGACUGCAUCGCUGGAGUACGGUAGAGGGGAUGGAAUUCCGCGUGUAGCAGUGAAAUGCGUAGAUAUGCGGAGGAACACCGAUGGCGAAGGCAAUCCCCUGGACCUGUACUGACGCUCAUGCACGAAAGCGUGGGAGCAAACAGG
rnacentral:rRNA from 1 species